CCUCGCACAUGCUAGGAAAGCACUCUACCACUGAGCCACAACCCCAGCUCCAUAAUUAUAUUUUGCUUUAACACUUAACUGUAAACUCCACAAAGACAUUCCCCACUCCUCUGCUAGUAGUUCUAAUCUCCGACAAAAUAAUCCAAACUACUGAUGAGGAUUCAAAGAGAUUGUUCUGCUACACUGUUCAGAUAUAACAGGAGAUGUGACAACUGGUCAGCUCCCAGGUUUGCAUUUCUAUUCAGGUGGAACCUCUUAGACCCAAUCAAAUUCUAAGGAUGGGACUCUGGCCCUGGACAGACAAGGGUCAGUCAAACUUAGGUCAGUUUCUGUGACCAGAGACAUAAUGCCAUGAAGUAAUAAUCUUUCGUGUCAGAAUUCAGUCUGGUGAUCUUGUGGGUCAGCUAGGUCAGUUCCUAGGGAGGAGCAUCACUAAGUGGAAAAUUUAAUAGGUUUCCACUUACAAGACUAAUUUAAUACAAGUGGCUAAAAGGCUGUCUUUUUUUAAAAAAUAGGCACAAUUUAUUAUUUAAUGCAUACAUUGAUGAUGGAUUUAUAUUUAAAGGUAGAAUAAUGUUACUCUUCAUCUUCAGAAUUCUUCAACAAAUUUACCAUUCCUCUGUAACAAUCUAUAGGAUAAAUCUCAAACUUGUACCUUCCCUCACAGAAGAAUCACUAAAAUCUGGCUCUAGACUUCUAAUCAGGUACAGUUUUGCAUCCCUUCCUGAUCCAUCAGCCAAAAUGAAGAAUUUCUCCUUAAUCUCAACUUCUUCUCCAUGCCUUUGGUUAUCUGUUUAGUUUGAAAUCUCUUUCCCAUCCAACAUGGCGGCGGGCGGAGAGGCAGCGUUUUCAAUACCCCCCCCCCCAGUGAUGGGGUCAUAAAGACGCAUAGAUAACGCUUAGAUUCUACCAACGGAGAUCUCCUAGCAAAAUUCCACUGAAGAGAGACAGGCCGGGAGCUACUAGGAUUUUUUUUUUAAAUUUUUUAUU